CCUACGGGCGGCUGCAGUGGGGAAUAUUGCACAAUGGGCGCAAGCCUGAUGCAGCCAUGCCGCGUGUGUGAAGAAGGCCUUCGGGUUGUAAAGCACUUUCAGCGGGGAGGAAGGCGGUGAGGUUAAUAACCUCAUCGAUUGACGUUACCCGCAGAAGAAGCACCGGCUAACUCCGUGCCAGCAGCCGCGGUAAUACGGAGGGUGCAAGCGUUAAUCGGAAUUACUGGGCGUAAAGCGCACGCAGGCGGUCUGUCAAGUCGGAUGUGAAAUCCCCGGGCUCAACCUGGGAACUGCAUUCGAAACUGGCAGGCUAGAGUCUUGUAGAGGGGGGUAGAAUUCCAGGUGUAGCGGUGAAAUGCGUGGAGAUCUGGAGGAAUACCGGUGGCGAAGGCGGCCCCCUGGACAAAGACUGACGCUCAGGUGCGAAAGCGUGGGGAGCAAACAGGAUUAGAUACCCGAGUAGUC
rnacentral:rRNA from 1 species